GCACGGCGGGCGCGGGCGCGGCCUCGGUCACGGGCCUUUGCGCGUGCGCGUCGGGACGCGCGUGCCACGAACGGGGAGGGGAGGGGCCGGCCGGCGCUCCCGCCUCGCGCAGGCGCACCGCGGUGCGCGCCGCCGCCGCCGCUGCUCGGCUCCGCUCGGCUCCGCUCGGCUCGCCAACGGCCCAGGCCCGCGCCACGCGCCGCCUCGGAGCCCGCGUCCGACGGGACGGAAGAACGCGGUUGCUGGGCUUGCUGCUGCGUUGCCCGACGCAGGCGAUGGGAUCGCGGCCGGGCCGCGCCGAGGCGAACGGGAGCGGGAGCACGAGUGGGAGCGGGAGGAGCGCGAAGAGCAGACGCUAGAGCAGGAGCAGAAGACGGAGGAGGGGCAAAAGAGAGCGCACGCCGGGGGGGCGGGGCUAAAUAACCGACGUCACCACGCUCCCCGCCAACCGCCUUCCUUCGGGCCCCCGCGCGCUGCUACGCCUUGACGACAUGCCAAAUGCAGUUUCUGAGCAAAAUGGAUAGAAUGUGCCUGCAGAUGGAUCUCCCCCUCCAGGAUUCUUCUCCCCGUGUCAGAGGGACCCAGGUCUAACUUCUGCCUGAACAACACUGCAAGAGCUGGUGUGAGGACUGCCUCUAAGCUUUCCCCUUUUCCCUUCAGCCAAAUAAAUUUUCCCUGAAGUCACUUAGGACUUUUUCAUUGAGUUACAUUCUUGUACCUUGCCUGGCUGCUCCAUUGAUAGCCCUCUAAUCUUUAGUUAAAGGUGGCUUUGAGGUCACUUCCUCAUAUGUCCACCCCUUCAUCCUUUUUACCAUCACUUUCCUUGAUGUUCUGUAUCUUUUGUUUUUCACUUAAAAUUUGUUGAGCAAAUUUAUAAAGCAUCCCCUUGCUACUUUGGUUAGUAUUGCAUUAAAAAUAUAAAUUAA